rnacentral:rRNA from 1 species
UUUGGUGGUUAUAGCGGUGGGGAAACACCUCUUCCCAUUCCGAACAGAGCCGUUAAGCCCACCAGCGCCGAUGAUACUGCUUCCUUUGGAAGUGGGAAAGUAGGUCGCCGCCAAGG